AGUGAACGCUGGCGGCGUGCCUAAUACAUGCAAGUCGAACGGAGAUUAAGUAGCUUGCUAUUUAAUCUUAGUGGCGCACGGGUGAGUAAUAUAUAGCUAACUUGCCCAUUACUAAGGGACAACAGUUGGAAACGACUGCUAAUACCUUAUACUCCGUAUCUAUACAAGUAGGUACGGGAAAGUUUUUCGGUAAUGGAUAGGGCUAUAUCGUAUCAGCUAGUUGGUAAGGUAACGGCUUACCAAGGCUAUGACGCGUAACUGGUCUGAGAGGAUGAUCAGUCACACUGGAACUGAGACACGGUCCAGACUCCUACGGGAGGCAGCAGUAGGGAAUAUUGCUCAAUGGGGGAAACCCUGAAGCAGCAACGCCGCGUGGAGGAUGACACUUUUCGGAGCGUAAACUCCUUUUCUUUUCCAAGAAUUAA
rnacentral:rRNA from 1 species